rnacentral:lncRNA from 1 species
UUCUAUUUACAUGGUCUUGAGCUCGCCCACCUGUCAUGGCCUAGCGGCACAUGAGAGAGCUUCAGACUUAAGCUGUUCUGACCGCUAUGGCCCCAAACUGUUUGAGGAGAAAUACAUUGGAACGAUGGAUGGGAAUGACAUAGUUAUAGAGGGAGAUAAAGAAGCAGAUGGGGCAUACAACAUGAUGGAUACGUUGCGAGUUAACAUACCAAAACGCAAGAUCCCGUUUCUGUAGCUCGCCUCCGCCAUGGACUAACUCCGCUGCCGUCGCCCCAACCUGACGGGCCUCUGC